GCGAUGAAGGCCUUCGGGUCGUAAAGCUCUGUCCUAAAGGAAGAAUUUUGACGGUACUUUAGGAGGAAGCCCCGGCUAAUUACGUGCCAGCAGCCGCGGUAAUACGUAAGGGGCUAGCGUUAUCCGGAAUUACUGGGCGUAAAGGGUACGUAGGCGGUUUAUUAAGUCAGGGGUGAAAGGCUACGGCUCAACCGUAGUAAGCCUUUGGAACUGAUAAACUUGAGUAUGGUAGAGGAAAGUGGAAUUCCUGGUGUAGCGGUGAAAUGCGUAGAUAUCAGGAGGAACAUCGAUGGCGAAGGCAGCUUUCUGGGCCAUUACUGACGCUGAGGUACGAAAGCGUGGGGAGCGAACAGGAUUAGAUACCCUGGUAGUCCACGCCGUAAACGAUGAGUGCUAGGUGUUGGGGGUCGAACCUCGGUGCCGCAGUUAACGCAUUAAGCACUCCGCCUG
rnacentral:rRNA from 1 species